CACUUCCCUGCUGCCACCAACCCAUUUCUCUCAGGUACACACUGAGUCCAGACAGUUGUUAACAUUAAAACAAAUAGUCAAGUUUAUUUUAUAAGCAUGAACAAGUUUAUGGUUUCAGAUAAAUUUUCUUGUCAGUUUCUUAAUCUUAGUUUCUUUACUGACCUAUACCUUCCUAAUAACUUCUAACUGAUUAUCCCAACUGUCUGACUCCUCCUAACAGUUCCUCUCACUCUCUCACAUCAAAACUAGACCAACCCACAGACUUAUCCUCCCUCUUCCUUCUCCAACUCCCAACUGACUUCCCAACAACUCCAACUCUAACUUCUCCCCGUGGGUUCCCACUGGCUAAUCACUUCACCCUCAUUUAACCCUUUCCUUAAGACCCACCUAGGAGGGCAAACGCCAUAGGUGAAACCAGCAGAGGGAGGGAAUGCCCUAUGACCUACGUCAAAUCAGGGCAUCCCCCAAGUGGUCCCCGUUGGAGGAGUGGUAUGGUCAUAGCCCCCGUCUGGGCAUCAGACAGGAGUCACUCCUCCCGGAUCCUUUUAACAGGAUACCCUUACCCAUGGAGGGGCAGGCAGGGGCUACAACCUCUCCUGCAACCAAGACUAGGCUAACCCAAUGCCUCAGAAAGUUGUGACUAUUGCUAUGAAGUAGGAGAAAACCCAAAUGGCGGUGCCAUUUUGCCAGAUGGGGAAAAUUCCUGACCGGCUCCUGAAUCCGGCAACCAGCAUUACCCAUAACAAGGUCAUACCAUUGGUAAAUAACCCUAAUCUGAUGGUGCGCGGAAGAACUGGAGCAGAGGGAGAGAGGCCGAAAGGCCCAGCUGCCCGGGUAUUUAUCCUUCCCCUGCCAAGCCCUGCUACUAGUGGGUUGGCACCACGCCCAGGUGAUGCCCCCUGAAUGCCUGCUGCCAUUGGCCAAUUUGGCAGUAGGAGUACUAUCCGCCUGACAAUAAGCUGGUUCAUAGGGGGGACGUGGUGCCUGCCCACAAAGCCGCCACCCCCAGAGGGUAAACAGACUUCCUUGACCAGGAGAGGUUACACAUAGUUGUCCAUCCAGUGGUUGUAUGGCUUGAUUACUGUCAUCGGCUUUAUGUGGUGCUACGCUGAAAGCUUCAGCUGGUAUAGAAUGUAAGCAGCCCAACUACUUGUGGGACAACUUUCUGACAGCAAAUAACACCUGCACUGGCCAGCCUAGGAUCAGGGUUUGGGACACGGGUGGCACUGUGGUCUAAGCCACUGAGCCUCUUGGGCUUGCCAGUCAGAAGGUUGGCAGUUUGAAUCCCCACAACGGAAUGAGCUCCCAUUGCUCUGUCCCAGCCCCUGUCAACCUAGCAGUUGGAAAGCACGCCAGUGCAAGCAGAUAAAUAGGUAUCACUAUGGCAGGAAGGUAAAUGGCAUUUCUGUGUGCUCUGGCUUCCAUCAUGGUGUUCCGUUCACCAGAAGCAGUUCAGUCAUGCUGGCCACAUGACCCAGAAAGUUGUCUGUGGACAAACGCCGGCUCCAUCAGCCUGAAAGCGAGAUGAGCGCCUCAACUCCAUAGUCGCCUUUGACUGGACUUAAUCGUCCAGGGGUCCUUUACCUUUUUAAAAAAACCAAGAUUUGAUACCAGUUUACAAAGCCCUAAACAACCUGGGUCCAGGGUUCCUUAAAGACUGCCUCACUCCCUAUAGGCCUGCUAGAUAGCAGAUAUCACCAGGGGCAGAACUUCUGGAGCUGCCUCAUGACCCAGAAAUCAAAUUCCUGUAUACUCAGAAGAGAACAUUCAACACAGUAGUCGCUUGCACUAUGGAUUUUGGCAUGUAAUGAACACAUUUUUAUUUUAGCAAGCAUUUGUUGAAUAUUAAUCUUAUCUGAUCGCCUUUAAGACCCUACUGUUUUACUUGGGAUAUAUGCUGUUCUGAAAUUGUUUCUGUUCUAAAUCAUUUAGCGAUCCGUGCACGUAAUCGAUUCAUAAAUAUUUAAAAUAGAUAAAUAAAACAGAAUCAGUUUAAUGGCUGCUGCCGAGAGAGCAGAGAUGGCUCAAGAGAUAUUGACUAAUUCUCCCGAAUUAAAGGAUAUAAAUAAAAGACACUUUUGUACUCACACCAUCUUUUGAAGAUGCCACACAAAAAUGAAUACUUCCAGAUUUUUAAAAUCACAUAAGUAGCAAGGAAGACAUCUGGAAGACUCAUCGGCUACAUGUAACUAAUUCUUUUUAAUGGUCUCAACUGGAUAGCUUCUUCUAUUUUAAAUUAGAUUUACUCUUAAGAAAUAAAAUGCUCUAUGUUCGUUUUUAACAGCACCACUGCAUCUUGCCUAAUGACAGUGAUCUUUCCCUCAUUUUUAAAGAAUGUUAAUGUUGCAUUUGCUAAGUGCAUGGUUAGGAGCUUGGAGCACUGUGCCCCCUUUUCUCUCCCUGCUUGUCCUCUCAAAGAAGAUUUCACGUUGCCUUUGAUUCCUAUGUUAUGAAACCCCUCUUCCCUCCCAGAGCUACAAUUCCAAGAGUUCCAUGAGAAGAGGGAUUGGCUGUUAAGCCACUCUGGGAAUUGUAGCUCUGGGAGGGGAAGCCAUGACUAUUUAAAAUGGUAUGAAGAUGCUUAAAAUAUAUAGUGUGAAUGCGGCCUAUAAUAGCACUUAGGGCCGUCUUUACCCGGGGGUGCAAGGGGUGCGUGGCACCCUGGCGCUGAAUUCUAGGGGGGGGGGGCGCCAGGUGCCCGCUGCUGAAAACGCCUAAGCUCUUAACCAUCUAACUGUUAUGAAAUAAUAAAUAAUUUUGAUCAAGCUGACAUUCAAAGCUGGCUGACGCUGCUGCCUCCACCCUGGCCGCUUUCUCCUCCCCGGAGUCCCGCCCUGAAUGGAGAGGCAUUGCUCUCUCACCUGCUAUUGGCACGGCUGCUGCAUCCCUCUUCUUCUCCUUCCUCCUCCUGGGGAGCUUUUAAAAGCACCCGGAUGUGAAGCUGCACACCUUUGCGGAGCUUGGGCGCCUGGCUCUUGAGGGGCGAUGGCAGCAAGACUCGGAAGAGCAUGACGCUGCCGAUGCCGCCAUGGCCUCACCUGCAACUGCAGAGAAGUAUAUCUUGGGUGUCGACGUGGGCAGCACUAAAUUUGGGGCGCUGGGCGGAUCUUUGCACCCCGGCAGCGCAUAUGGUAAAGACGGCCCUGAUUGCACUACAUGAAUUGGCUGGUGUGUGAUAAUACUACUAAUAAUAAUUGUAUUAUUUAUUCCUCACCCACCUGGCUGGGUUGCUCCAACCACUCUGGACGGCUUCCAACGCAUAUAAAAACAUAUAUAGUGAAAAUAGCGGCAGUCUAGAAGCACCCUUUGUCAUUUUUAGCUGCUUGCCACAAAAGCAGCGGAAGAUUUCUCCCAGAGAAUCACAAGUACUGCAAAUAAGCAUUGCAAAGGUUCAAAGUUUCAAAUCAGCAAAAGAAAUCGGAUCUCCCUGUUGCACGUAGAAAUGUCUUAAGAAGUUGCAAGAAAAUUCAUAAAAAUUGUAAUAAAGCAACACUGCUAGGGGACACUAUUAAGGGACAUAAGAUGCCCAUGCAAAGUUGGGUUCAUGUAGGUUUGUUCAUUUUAGAUGUUAAUACCUAUUGCUACUUCAAUAAUAGCAAACUAAUUGCAAGAAAAUGUUAAUGAUUGGCUUUUUAAAGGAGGGAAAAAGAGUGCUGAUUACUAACUGUGAUCUCAGUGGAAAAGAAGAAUUAAGCAUGAAUAAAAUUUGAAGACGUUGCUUUUAUUAAGCUGAGUAUUGUUCACUGUUGGCCAUGACUGCACAAUCAAUAAAUCCCUGCGAUAGUUGCAUUGCCUACCUAGAAUCAUAGAACUGUAGAGCUGGAAGGAACCCUAAGAAUUAUCUAGUCCAACCUGCUGCAAUGCGGGAAUCUCAAUUAGAUCAUACAUGGCAGAUAGCCAUUCAACCUCUUCUAAAAGAAACCUUCAAGGAAAGAGAGUCCACCACCUCUCGAGGUAGUCUAUUCCACUGUCACACAGCAUUUACUGUCAGAAAGUUCUUCCUGGUGUUUGGUUGGAAUCACCUUUCUUGUAACUUGGAUCCGUUGGUUUGGGUCCUAUCCUCAGCAGCAGUUGGAAUCCCACAACAUCAUCGGGAGAGUCACAAAAUCCUUUGUAGGAACUUUACACUGUAUGGAGACCUUGAUCGGAGUUAGGUAGGUGUAUGGGUGCAGAGACAUCACCUUGCCGACAAAGGUCCAUAUAGUUAAAGCUAUGGUUUUCCCAGUAGUGAUGUAUGGAAGUGAGAGCUGGACCAUAAAGAAGGCUGAUCACUGAAGAAUUGAUGCUUUUGAAUUAUGGUGCUGGAGGAGACUCUUGAGAGUCCCAUGGACUGCAAGAAGAUCAAACCCAUCCAUUCUGAAGGAAAUCAGCCCUGAGUGCUCACUGGAAGGACAGAUCAUGAAGCUGAGGCUCCAAUACUUUGGCCACCUCAUGAGAAGAGAAGACUCCCUGGAAAAGACCCUGAUGUUGGGAAAGAUGGAGGGCACAAGGAGAAGGGGACGACAGAGGACGACAGAGGACGAGAUGGUUGGAUAGUGUUCUCGAAGCUACCAGCAUGAGUUUGACCAAACUGCAGGAGGCAGUGGAAGACAGCAGUGCCUGUCGUGCUCUGGUCCAUGGGGUCACGACUAAACGACUAAACAACAACAGCAAAUGGGUGCUUAAAAACACAAUAGUUCACUUCCAUCCCAGUGAAUAGGGUUGAAGUCAUUUCUUGGGUUAGGAAUGAAGAAGGGAGCUUGGACUUUUGUUUGCUCUCUAAGGCACAGAGAUCCGUCUGCCUGAUCAACUUGCCCAUUUAGAAGAAUAAAAAAAGGGCUGCUAACAAAGUCACAUCAGAUGUUUGAGCAGGAUUACACACACUUGCAUUUAACCAAUAGACUAUAAUUAUAAAGGCAAGUUCACCUGAUUAGUAUCAACUUUACAUCUUGUUUUCAAACCAAAGCCAAAUAUAAUUAAUAGGUAUAAAAAAGUGGGAAGGAAACCACCAUCACUUUGCCUACAGUGGUUUUCUUUUAAUGGGAGCAGAUGGAAAAUCUUAAGGCAUGGGCUUCAUUUAUAUAUAAAUAAAACAAAUCAGGACUAGUGAGCCAGUUGUAAUUAAACUAUGAAGUUAGCAAUCAUGUAGGGAUACUGCUCCCUCCCAACCCCCAGCCCUACAGGGCUCCUGUGUCUGUCAGGGCAGAAUUCAGCAAGGGAAAACUUAUUCAUCAAUUGUGAGGAAAGCUGUCAUAGUUAGGGGCUUAUUGGUCUCCCCAAAGAAGGUGCUCCUGGAGAAAUCUUGGAAUUGCUCUUUACAUUUAAGACAGAUGCAAUUAUCUGAGCAUAGUAGUGACUACAGUUGACUGAAAGAACUUCUGAUUACUCAUCAUAGCAUAGUGGCAGAUCAUCUGUUCUGCAUAAACAAGCUCCCAGGUUCAAUUCCUAGCAUCUCCAGGUAUGGCUAGGAGCAUAGUUGUCAACUUACAGAUUUGAAAAUAAGGGAUCAGCAGCCAAAAUAAGGGACCUGCAGCCUCACCUGUUCCAGGCACUCCAGUGUUCCUGUCCUCCUGCAGUCUGGUCAAACUCAUGCUGGUAGCUUCGAGAACACUGUCCAACCAACUUUGUAACCAGAGGUUCAACUGAAUAGAAUCUGAAUCACAUGCACCACAAGGCCUAUGCAGCCUCAACUUAAGAUGGCUCCCCGGCCUGGCUUUGCACUGCAAAGUUUGCAGCAGCACGUGCAACAAGAUGGCGUCCAGCAUUCAAAAACCCCCUCAGCUUGCAUUAACUAGCCACACACACACAGCCUCCCCCCCUCGCCAUGAGAUCGCCAGUCACCCACCAUUUUAGUCAACCAGCUCCUUUCUUUCCCACCAUAAGUCAAUCGAAGGAGCCUCCAAAACAAAUUCAAAAGCCCCCCCUCCCACGAGAUCUCCUUUCCUUUUCCCCCACCAUGUGUCCCCACUCCAGACAGACCUUUUCGCUGGCAAGGGUGAGUGGGCUGUCAAUGACGUAUCCAUCCGAUUCCGAUCCGAGCACUCAGCACAGGUAUGUUCAACUUCUGAGCCCCUCUGAGCCAAAGGCAGAAAGCCCAGCCAGCAGCCAAACGAAGCCUCAAGGAAAACCACCGUCACCUCUCCGCUGGGAAGCGCUGAGCAAAGGCGAAACCCCAGGCAACGCAGCCGAUUUGAUCAGCACAAGGCAUGCAAGCUCCACCCCCCAGUCGUUCUUAGACUUCUUAUUGGGUGAGUAACACAGCCAAGCAACACAGUUGGAGCCUCCCUCCUCCCUGGCCAGCAGGGAGGGACGGAGAGGAGCUGCUUCCUUUGAAAUUUAAGGGACAUCAUUUAAGGGACAUUUAAGGGACAUUCAUCAAUAAGGGACAGCAGCGGGACAUGGUGCUGGAAUAAGGGACUGUCCCUCCAAAUAAGGGACACUUGACAGCUAUGGCUAGGAGACACCUCAGCCUGAAAUCCUCCAGAGUCACUGCCAAUUAGUGUAGACAAUACAGUGGUACCUCGGGUUACAGAUGCUUCAGGCUACAUACACUUCAGGUUACAGACUCCGCGAACCCAGAAAUAGUACCUCGGGUUAAGAACUUUGCUUUAGGAUGAGAACAGAAAUCGUGCUCCGGCGGCACAGCGGCAGCAGGAGGCCCCAUUAGCUAAAGUGGUGCUUCAGGUUAAGAACAGUUUCAGUUUAAGAACGGACCUCCAGAAUGAAUUAAGUACUUAACCCAAGGUACCACUGUACUGGGCAAGAUAGGCUAAUGGUCUGACUGGUAUAUGGCAGCUUCUUAUAUCCUAUACUUGCGGUUCCUCUUAUUGCAGAUACAAGAAUGUUGUUGAAGCUCAGGAAGCCUUAUGCAUCGAAGACUGGAAGAUUAUGAAGAAGGGG
rnacentral:lncRNA from 1 species